rnacentral:lncRNA from 1 species
GGGACCCAUCUCUUUAUUGAAUACUAAAUCUACAGGGCCUUUGUUGGUAAAGAAUACAACAAAGGGGACCUCGGUAACAGGAGGAUGUGGUUCUUCACACUCCUGCUCCUGUAGCCUUAUGACUCAGAUAUUAUGCCUCCUUCUUUUUUUUUUUCUCUCUUUUUCAGCUGCCCCUGCAGCUACACCACAGCCUCAGCAACACAAGAUCCUUAACCCACUGGGCCGGCCGGAACUCCCUCUCUGUCUCUUACUUGCAAAUUGCUUCCCACUUUGCUAAUUUGCUUUUCCAUCCCUUUAUAUUCCGUGCUUCACAUUUCUGCUUCCUCACUCCAGCAUUAUAUUUCCUACUUGGUCUUAUGACUUCAGUUAAAUGUUUUAAUUAUAGGAAUAGUGUGAGGACAUGGUAAAAGAAAAACAAAACAGUGGUUCUCAACCAUACAUGACUUCUCCAUUCCACUCCCCGCCCCAGGACAUUUGGCAAUAUCCAGAGACAUUUUUGGCUGUCACAGCUGGAGAGGAAGUGCCAUUGGUAUAUAGUAGUUAGAGGCCAGGGAUGCACCUAAACAUUCUACAACACACAGAUCAAACACUCACAACAAAGAAUUUCUGGCUCCAAAAGUUAAAGGUGCCAAAGUUGAGGCAGAAAAAACAAAGUGAAAGGCUAUGCCCCAACCUCAUUCCUACACUCAGUUGUAGUUCCCAGAGGCACCUACUAUUAAUGGCUUCUGUUUUUUAGCCUUUUGGUAAAUAUCACUGUAUCUGUCAAUAAUACUUAGACUGCUCAGAUCGAGGGGAUUCUGGGCGUGUGGCACCCUACUGAAGCCUCCACACCCCUCUGGCAAUUCCCAGCUACAGGUGAUAAACUUUAAGUGGGCUCUUCUGAACUCUUGGCUGAGAUAAUUCCCCACAGACAGGUUUCUGAAGAAUAGCCUCAGAGCCAAGAACAAGGACCUUGGGAAAGGCAGCAAGUCCCAGAAAUGGCCUGCUUCCCAAGAACAAUGCAUGGUUUCGCUGAAUUUCCCUCACUCUCCAAAAAACUAAUGGUGGAUUGACUUUCUCAGUUCUUGAAGGUGAGAGAGUGCAGACAAACCAGAGGGCAGAGAGGCCUGCUGAAGGAAACAGAUGAACCUCUGACUGAAAAAAAAUGAGAGCUGGGAGGAGAUAGGUGUGAAGGUCAAACACACAAGAUUUCCCUGAACCGAAAAAUGUGAUAUUUGAACUAAAAAUGUCCAUAGAUAAAUCAAAGGAGAGGACAGACACUGCUAAAACUCAAAAACAGUUCUAGAAAUCAAAUGAAAUAUCUUGUACAGCAGAAAUUAACAUGACAUUGUAAAUCAACUUACUUCAAUAAACAAACAGGGAGUUCCUGUCCUGGCACAGCGGAAAAGAAUCAGACUAGGAACCAUGAGGUUGCAGUUUCGAUCCCUGGUCUCACUCAGUGGGUUAAGGAUCUGGUGUUUCCAUGAGCUGUGGUGUAGGUAGCAGACAUGGCUCAGAUCUGGCGUUGCUGUGGCUGUGGCGUAGCCUGGCAGCAACAGCUCCAAUUGGACCCCUAGCCUGGGAACCUCCAUAUGCUGCGGGUGCAGCCCUAAAAAAAAAAAAAAAAAGACAAAAAUAAAUAAAUAAAUAAACAGAUGAAGUAUCUCAAAACAGGUAACAAAAAUAUGCAGAUGUAAAUCAUGUGGUGAAAGACAGGAAAUUGGAACACACCCAGGAGACUUAACUGCAAAUUCUAAGAGUUCCUGGAAAAAAGAAACAAGAGAGGUCAUAAUUAAGUAAUAGAUGAAAUUUCCCUGAGCUGAAGAAUGUGUUACAAAUUGGAUUGACAGAAAAAAACACACAUUUAUCAAGGCAGUCGAAAGGCACAAAAUUCCAGUUUUUAGACAAAUACUAGAAAUGUAAUGUACAUAACAUAAUAAAUAUAGUUAACACUGCUGUAUGUUAACCUUUGAAAGUUGUUGAGAGUAAAUCUUAAGUUCUCAUCACAAGAAAAACAUUUUUUCUAUUUCUUUAAUUUCAUAUUUUUAUGAGAUGAUGGUCCCUAAACUUGUUGCAAUAAUCAUUUCAUGCUGUAAGUCAAAUUAUUAUGCUGUACACCUUAAAGUUAUAAGUGCUGCAUGUCAAUUAUAUCUUAGUAAGACUAGAACAAAAAAAACACACACCUAGCCAUAUACAGGUUAAAAUUCCUCUGCUUUAAAGGAUAUGGGAAAUCUUACACAUUUUCAGUCAGAAAGAAAGUUCUUUCUUCCUAUCUGGUACCCCGAAAGUUAAAAGACAGCAAAACUGUCUUACACUGUUAAAAGGUCUGCAACCCAGAACCAGGCAAGGAAGGAAGAUAUCUGAAGAUUCGCAAAAAUCACUCACCUGAGAAAUACUCUGAAGACUCUAAUGAAAUAAAAAAUGAAUCGGAACAGAGAUUUUAAGAUGGGGAAGAUGACGAGAAGGGGAAAGAAAGCAGUGGGGAGCAACGAACCAUGAUCUAUAUAUUUAUAUCUACACCUCUAUGUAUUUAUAACAUGUAAUAAAAAUGCUAAAUAAGGACUCUUGAAACAGAUGGAACACUGCGAGGGAAAUUCUAAUAAAGACUAAAUGAUCGCAAUAAAACUCUAGAGGUGGGGAUAGGGGAAGGUUUGUGUUCCAGGACCUAAGGGGAGAGGGGUUGGGAGGCAGAAAUGGGAGGGGGAGGGGGAGCGAAAAUGACCUAAAGGCCAUAUAUUAUUGGGGUGUGGAGGAAGUGGAAGAUAAGAGUAUGAAGGAAAUAGCUGUUCUGUUUUCACACACUAGAAGAGCCACAUGUGCUUUAUUUAAGAGAGGAGGGCAAGUGAUGGUAACUACAAAUAGAACGAUAACCUCCAAAUAACAAGGGAGGAAGUGGGAUGAGCAGUCAUUCAUUCAAUCCAGCAAAGGUAAAGAAGAGUUCAAAUAAUGUUAAGAAAUUUAAGAACAAGAUGGAAAUAAUAAUCAAAUACAUCAUUUAUUACAGUAAAUAUGAUUGGCCUGAAUUCUUCCAUUAGAAGGCUGUUAGACUUUGUUAUAAAUCAAAUUCUGGUCCCUAUUAUUUUUCUUUAUAUGCACUUAAGGAGUUCCCGUCAUGGCUCAGUGGUUAACGAAUCCGACUAGGAACCAUGAGAUUGUGGGUUUGAUCCCUGGCCUCGCUCAGUGGGUUAAGGAUCCGGUGUUGCCAUGAGCUGUGGUGUAGGUUGCAGACACGGCUUGGAUCUCGCGUUGCUGUGGCUGUGGUGUAGGUUGCUGUGGCUGUGGCUUAGGCCAGCAGCUGUAGCUCUGGUUCGAUCCCUAGCCUGGGAACUUCCAUAUGCUGUGGGUGCGGCCCUAAAAAAACAAAAACAAACAAACAAACAAAAAAGAUAUUACCAUUUGGAAAGUUGACUGGACGUAAGAUAAAUAUAAUGAAAAUAAACUGCUUUUUUUCCUAUUCUAGCAAUAGGCAUCUCAUAUUGAUAAUAGGAAAAAUAUUCAAUUUACAGUUAGAAAAUUAUAAAAUUCUUAGGGUAAUAACUGUUAACAGUCACCAUAAUGCCAUGCACUAUUCUGUGCAAUCCUCCAACACCCUCUUCGGAUGGAUUACUAUUAUCAUUCUUAUUUUGCAGAAAAGAACACUGAGAAAUAGAGUGAUUUACCCCAGAUCAUUAGCUGUAAUCCUGGCAGCUGGCACUGAGACUACUUUUGAAACCUCCAUGUUAUGGUAUGUCAUUUUGUAAAAAUUGAGAUAUAAUUGACAUAUUAUUAGUUUCAGGUGUACAAUAUGAGUCAGUGUUUGCAUAUUUUGCAAAGUAAUCACAGUACCUCUAGUUAACAUCCAUCACUGCACAGUUACAAUUUUUUUCCUCGUGGUAAGAACUUUUAAGAUCUACUCUCCUAGUAACUUUCAAAUAUACAAUUCAGUAUUAUUAGCUAUAGUCACCAUGCUGAACAUUAAUCCCCAGGACUUAUUUUUUUUUUUUAUAACUGGAAGUUUUAUAGUAUGUAAAUUUAGUCAGGAACACCUAGUACUAUACUCAUAUGAAGAAAGUUAUACAAUAUAAUUAAAAGAUAUAAAGCAGGGAGUUCCCGUCGUGGCGCAGUGGUUAACGAAUCCCACUAGGAACCAUGAGGUUGAGGGUUCGGCCCCUGCCCUUGCUCAGUGGGUUAACGAUCCGGCGUUGCCGUGAGCUGUGGUGUAGGUUGCAGACACGGCUCGGAUCCCGCGUUGCUGUGGCUCUGGCGUAGGCUGGUGGCUACAGCUCCGAUUCAACCCCUAGCCUGGGAACCUCCAUAUGCUGCGGGAGCGGCCCAAGAAAUAGCAGCAACAACAACAACAACAACAAAAAAAAAGACAAAAAAAAAAAAAGAUAUAAAGCAAGAUUGGGACAAGUAGAAAAUCCACCAUACUGGGAAAACAAAAUAUCAGAAAAAAUAUCGUUACUCCCCAAAUUUAUGUAGACCAUCAAGAUAAUUGCAAUUUGUUUUUCAAAGAAUAGUCAAGGACAAAUAUACAUAUAUAUUUGUGUAUACAUAUAUUUAUAUAUAUUUGUGUAUUUAUAUAUAUAUAUUGGCCGCACCCAUGGCAUGUGGAAGUUCCCAGGCCAGAGAACAAACCUGCACCACAGCAGGGACCCCAGCUGCUGCAGUGACAACACCAAU